AAGGAAUUAUGAUUAUGUAAAAGCUUCUAACUUUUAACAUUAAUGGUUAAAUUCCAUUUAUUCCUUU
rnacentral:tRNA from 1 species